rnacentral:rRNA from 1 species
UAACGCGUGGAUAACCUGCCUCACACUGGGGGAUAACAGUUAGAAAUGACUGCUAAUACCGCAUAAGCGCACAGUACCGCAUGGUACAGUGUGAAAAACUCCGGUGGUGUGAGAUGGAUCCGCGUCUGAUUAGCCAGUUGGCGGGGUAACGGCCCACCAAAGCGACGAUCGGUAGCCGACCUGAGAGGGUGAUCGGCCACAUUGGAACUGAGAGACGGUCCAG